GUAGAUAUAGUUUAACUAAAACAUUAGAUUGUGAAUCUAACCACAGAGACUUACCACCUCUUAUUUACC